ensembl:lncRNA
ACGGUUCGUGAUAUAUCCUGGGAAGAACUCCGCAUUUGCCAUUGCAACUUACCUAUGAUGAAUUUACGGCUGAGGGGGAAUAUUUCACUCAUGUUGGUUGCGUCAAUGUCACAUUUACAUAGGCCGUAUUAUUUGAAUUUGUGUCUGGUAGAUAGAAUUAUAAAAUAACGUUAUUAACCGGUUAAUGGUCAUUUAAAAAAAGUGUUACUAUUCAAUUUGAUUUAUUUCUGUUUCUGGUUUGUUCCUGUCAACAUUAUGUAACAUACUGUUUCUGUUUUCGAUCCUUGAACUGGUUCAGAGCCCUGGUGCAGACAGACGAUAUGAAGAACAGAGGAAAAACAUCAUAUAAGAAUUAGAAAAAAUGGGAUUAAAAAAGGGUAUAUUGGAAUGGGGUGAAUUACCAGGCAAAAGAACAGGACUGGAUAAGCAAAAUAAGACUUUAUUAAUCCAACACAGGGGUAACUCCAACGUGGAAACAGGAGGAAGACACACUAAUGUAACUUGUAGACCCGACAAACACAGACUGGACAGACUAGGACCUUUAAAGACAGGGUAAUUAGAAACACAGGUGAGUGGAAUGACUAAAUUAACAGGUACAUGGAACACAUGGGGAAGAAACUAGACACACCUGGGAACUAAU